rnacentral:misc_RNA from 3 species
CAACCCUCAAGCCUGGCUUGGUGUUGGGGCACUGCUUCGAGAGAAGCAGGCCCUGAAAUCUAGUGGCGAGCUCGCUAGGACCCCGAGCGUAGUAGUUAUAUCUCGUUCUGGAAGGCCCUGGCGGUGCCCUGCCGUUAAACCCCCAACUUCUGAAA